GUCUACGGCCAUGCUACCCUGAACAAGCCCGAUCCCGUCUGAUCUUGAAAGCUAAGCAGAGUCGGGCCUGGUUAGUACUUGGAUGGGAGACCACCUAGGAAGACCAGGUGCUGUAGGCA
rnacentral:rRNA from 1 species